rnacentral:rRNA from 1 species
AGGACGAACGCUGGCGGCGUGCUUAACACAUGCAAGUCGAGCGGAAAGGCCCUUCGGGGUACUCGAGCGGGCGAACGGGUGAGGUAACACGUGAGCAAUCUGCCCCUAGCUCUGGGAUAGCUCCGGGAAAACCGGGAUUAAUACCAGAUACAACCACUUUAGACAUCUUUUGUGGUGGAAAGGAUUCCGGCUAGGGAUGAGCUCGCGGCCUAUCAGCUUGUUGGUUGGGGUAACGGCCCACCAAGGCGACGACGGGUA